CGCCCAACAACUAGCCCCCCCAACUAACUGCAACCACCCCUAUUAAUACCCCCUAAGUACCCCCGUAUUUAGAUUAAACAAACCAUUUUUCCCCCUUAGUAUAGGCGAUAGAAAAGG
rnacentral:rRNA from 1 species